UUAGCUAGUUGGGGAGGUAACGGCUCACCAAGGGGACCAUGCGUAGCCGACCUGAGAGGGUGAUCGGCCACACUGGGACUGAAACACGGCCCAAACUCCUACGGGAGGCAGCAGUAGGGAAUCUUCCCCAAUGGACGAAAGUCUGACGGAACAACGCCGCGUGACCAUGAAGGCCCUCGGGUCGUAAAGUUCUGUUGUUAGGGAAGAACAAGUACCAGAGUAACUGCUGGUACCUUGACGGUACCUAACCAGAAAGCCACGGCUAACUACGUGCCAGCAGCCGCGGUAAUACGUAGGUGGCAAGCGUUGUCCGGAAUUAUUGGGCGUAAAGCGCGCGCAGGCGGUUUCUUAAGUCUGAUGUGAAAGCCCACGGCUCAACCGUGGAGGGUCAUUGGAAACUGGGGAACUUGAGUGCAGAAGAGGAGAGUGGAAUUCCACGUGUAGCGGUGAAAUGCGUAGAGAUGUGGAGGAACACCAGUGGCGAAGGCGA
rnacentral:rRNA from 1 species